GUGGGGAAUCUUAGACAAUGGGGGAAACCCUGAUCUAGCCAUGCCGCGUGAGCGAUGAAGGCCUUAGGGUUGUAAAGCUCUUUCAGCUGGGAAGAUAAUGACUGUACCAGCAGAAGAAGCCCCGGCUAACUCCGUGCCAGCAGCCGCGGUAAUACGGAGGGGGCUAGCGUUGUCCGGAAUUACUGGGCGUAAAGCGCACGUAGGCGGACCGGAAAGUCAGAGGUGAAAUCCCAGGGCUCAACCUUGGAACUGCCUUUGAACCGCCUGGGCGUGAGGUCGAGAGAGGUGAGUGGAAUUCCGAGUGUAGAGGUGAAAUUCGUAGAUAUUCGGAGGAACACCAGUGGCGAAGGCGGCUCACUGGCUCGAUACUGACGCUGAGGUGCGAAAGCGUGGGGAGCAAACAGGAUUAGAAACCCUAGUAGUCC
rnacentral:rRNA from 1 species